UCUCUGGUAGUAUAUCGGAUAGUACACCCGCCUGUCACAUCUACUGUGCGCGGGAGAGCGGGGUUCGACCCCCCGCCAGAGAG